UGAAUGAUGGACUCUAGAGUGACCAUCCGAAAGCGUCUUGAUUGAACAGAAGUAUUCAGCAGCCUGAGAUCGAGAAUAGGUCUGAGGCUGCCAUCCUUUUUGGGUUGUCUGCAGUAGAGUGCUUAGAUGAGGAGCCCAUCAAAGGCUUUUUUGCAGGCAUUUUGGAGGAUUUCACUGGAGGGGAGCAGGAAGAGGAUUUAGUUUUCAACAUGAAUCAGGGAGGAACAGCAGCUGCAAGGUGUUGAAAGACAAAUCCCGAUUGGUAGAUACAGUCACUUCAGCCGCAGGCUUGUCAUCACUGUAUAUACUGCUAAUAUAUGGUGCUGACAACUAUGUUGCCAAGAGAUGUCUACUGAGAAAAAAAGAGAGAGAGAUAUAUCAUUAUUCUGGAAGAUAAUGCCAAAACUGCAAAAGAAGAAUAAGAAGAAAAUUUUCUGCGACCCUUGAAGCAGGUGAAAUUAGCCCAUGGUUCUGCCAAAAUUGCAGGCUUCCAGGAAGACAGAAUUACACCUGCAUCAUCUUCUUCUACUUCCUUGCAAGAUAUGAGCAAGGUUCUAAUAAUUUCAUGCUCAAGUGCUUUUAAUUUUUCUUCUAUAUUUAUGCAUUUAAAUUUAAUUUUUUAAUUUCAAAGGACAUUUUACCCUGUUUUCAGUCAAAAGGGCUUCAAGAAAGACUGACACACGAUAUUAAAAAAUGACAAGAGAAAAGAAAAACAAUGAAGAAGGAAGAGAGGGGAGAGUAAAGUGAAGUCAAAUGAUUAAAC